AUUCAACUGAUGAAUCUUAAAUAGAACGAAACGCACGUAUUGGAU
rnacentral:hammerhead_ribozyme from 1 species